rnacentral:rRNA from 1 species
UACGUAGGGUGCGAGCGUUAAUCGGAAUACUGGGCGUAAAGCGUGCGCAGGCGGUGAUGUAAGACAGAUGUGAAAUCCCCGGGCUCAACCUGGGAACUGCAUUUGUGACUGCAUCGCUGGAGUGCGGCAGAGGGGGAUGGAAUUCCGCGUGUAGCAGUGAAAUGCGUAGAUAUGCGGAGGAACACCGAUGGCGAAGGCAAUCCCCUGGGCCUGCACCGACGCUCAUGCACGAAAGCGUGGGGAGCAAACAGG